CUCCUACGGGAGGCAGCAGUGGGGAAUAUUGCACAAUGGGCGAAAGCCUGAUGCAGCGACGCCGCGUGAGGGAUGACGGCCUUCGGGUUGUAAACCGCUUUCGCCUGUGACGAAGCGUGAGUGACGGUAAUGGGUAAAGAAGCACCGGCUAACUACGUGCCAGCAGCCGCGGUAAUACGUAGGGGGCAAGCGUUAUCCGGAUUCAUUGGGCGUAAAGCGCGCGUAGGCGGUUUUUUAAGUCUGAUGUGAAAGCCCACGGCUCAACCGUGG
rnacentral:rRNA from 12 species